ACAGAAUACUUGAGGUUGUGGCAAAAAUGGAAGCAAUCAUUUUGAAUUUCCAUCCUUUCUUUCUCCUUCUCCAAACCAUGCUGUCCUCUUUCUCCCCUACAUUGGGAAGAAUGGUGGCCCUACUGCACUUCACACAACUCUGGGAGGCAACAUUCCAAGCAAUUAUGCCCUGGGACUACGCUGGUGCAGGCUGUGCACGCCCAGCCCACGUGCCCACCACCCACCCUCUCUGUGGCUUGGUCUCUGGGGACCUCCCAGUGGGUUGGUGACAGCUGCAUCUUCCCAGUGCCCUCCCUGCUCUGCUCUGCUCUGCCCGCUUCUCACAUGCCCUCCCCACUCCAUUUGUGCCCUCGGUGGGCUCCUUCUUCCUGCCUAAUAAAUGGAGGGGUGGGGCUGGGUCUCUUUGUCUUUACUCACACCUCAAGCACAAACACCCCACCCCCACCCCAUGUUCAGUUCCCAUCCCCAUGCCGAUGCCUUUGGAAUUGUCACCUUAGCUCAGCUCCCUUUGUCCAUCCACCUAUGGCAGCUCCACCUAACCCUCCACAGAACCCACCAAUGCAGCUCGCCCUCUCUCUGCGUCUGUCCUGGGCUCCCACUGGCCCUGCUGGCCCAGCCAAAUCACCCUGUGUGAACUCUUCUUCCUCCUCAUCCUCCUACAGUCUCUAUAGAGACCCUGAUGUCACCUCCUGGACACUCACACCUGUGCCAGCAGAGACCACUGUGUUCUUGCUCCUUUCUUCUCACUGCAGCUAAAGUGACGUGCCCACACCCCAGGGCUGACAGCUGGAACCUGCUCCCAAGGACCCACCUGAGGGAGGACUGGGAGCUCUUCAAGGGCUGGGCUAGGCCUGAUCCAUCCUUGUCCAAGAGCUAAGCCUGAAUCAGGCACACUUCAGUACCCUGCAGUGAUUGUUGAAUGAAGGAGAGACUCAACCUCUUACUCCAUAUCCUUUCCAUGAUCUCAUCUUAUGCCCAGGAGACCCAAGUCCCCUCCUUUCAUAGCAAAGCCCUGCCCUACUCACUGGUGAUGCUCCUUUAGAUUCCGCCAAUCCCAGAUGCCUGGCCCUGGCAGCAGCCCCUGAGCCAGGGUGCAGCUCAUGCUGUCCUCAGGGGCUGGUAGACAGUGCUUAGGCUUGCCUCCAAGGUCAGAAAUCCUGAAAAAGGACCACACCCAUCCCAGAACCUGCAGAAAGGUUGUGGAAAGUUUCCAAAGGGCCCCAUGGUGCUGGGGCUCAUCCAGCCUGGCUUGUCCAGGCUCCCUGGGUCUCCUGGCCACUGCUCAGCAGCUCUCUCCAGCACUGACUUCCAGCUGUUUUCUGGCCAGCACUCUGCAGGAAGACAUGUUCCAUUUCAUCUGCUGAGGCUCCACAGACAGCAGAAGGAGGAGAGGGAGAGAAAGGAUCAUGGGCGGUGGGCCGGGGCGCAUGGAACCCUGGAGACAAAGAGGGAGGUCAGGAGAGAGUAGAGAGAUCGCAGAGGAGCAUGGAAGAAGAAGGGAGCUCUGGGCAACAGGUGGACAAAGAGGAGAAGGGGAGGUGGGCUAGAGAUGGACGGCAAGAGACAGGGUGUAGGGAGAGAGGGGAAAGAGCGAUAAAGGGGAAAGGAAAGACAGAGAUAGAGGCAGAGACAAGGACAGGGCAACAAGAUGCAAAGGUAUAGAGAAGGAGAGGGAAAAGGAAAAAGGAAGAGGAGAGGGAGGAUAAAGAGAACCCGAGGAUAAAGAGAACCCAGAAGCUAGAGCCAAGGGCAUGGUGGAGGACAGACAAGUCAUUGAGGCAUCAGGGAAGGCUUCCUGGAGGAGGGGCAAGUUUGGCGGGGCUGCAGGAUGGGUGGACAUGGAUGGAGACAUAUGGGGGAACGGGAUGGAAGGAGGAAGAUGUGUCCAAAGGGCUCCACAGUCUUCAAAAUGGUGAGGCUGGGUUGGUGCCUAUCUCCUCUCAGACAAGCCAGGGUCCCACUUCAAGGGCAUUUACUUACAAACAGGAAAAGCUGCCCUGCUCAGCGGUUAUAGGCCCUGUGUGUUUCAGAGCAGACAGCAAAGUUCACUUUUACCGGGUGCAAGCAGGCCUGUGCUGGGGGACAGUAUCGGGGGAGUAGAGUGCAGGCCAGACCUAGCCCUGAACAUCUGCUGGGGACACCCUGACGCCCCUCAGUGAUCCUCUACUGGAGAAGGCAGGUAGGACAGAGCGGGGACAGACACCUGGCUCUUUAGCUGACUGGGUGGCCUGGGCAGAUUCCUUCCUUCUCCGUGUUUCACUUUCUCCACAGGGUCCUGGGCCUCCUGGUCUCCUCGGUCUUCGAACCUCUGUGUUCCCUCAUGUGGUGACCACUGGUGCAAGGUGCUUUUCAAGUGAUAUUUCAUCUCAUCUUUGUAGCCACCCUUGGAGGUGCCCUUAGUCUACAAAUGAGGAAACUGAGGCUCGCCCAGGGGAUGGGACUUGCCCAAGGUCAUACAGCUGGUAAGAGACACAACUGAGGACCAACCCAGCGAUGUCUCAGUUCACUCCCAGCUCCAAGACAUCCACUGUGAACUAUUGGCAGCUGCAAGAGAUCCUGAGUUCAUGUCUGGGGGCAGGAAACUGUCAGAAACCCGUGUACCUUCCAAGGUUCAGCAGAUUGGAGAGAAAAGUUUUCUAGUGCUCAGCAAGAACAAUACACCGAUUAACAGGGCAAUUUCAGGACCGUUUUGGGAGCUGGGUGGAGAAGGAGGGAGAACCAGAUGUUCCUACACAGGCUCCAAAGAACUGCAGGCUUGCCUGGGCCAACACACAUGUUUUCUCUCCAGUGAGAAUGAUGGGUUUCCAGUUUUCUCCUCCUGGAAGAGGCAUCCCAAGCCCGUAUUUAUGUUCCGUCUGAAAUUAAUGCAAGGGAAACUUCUAAAUGUGAAUCUCACUGCCAGAGCAGCCUACCGGAUAUCAAGCAACAGUAGGGUUUGUUUUCCCAAGGAAGUGUGACAGGAGGGUUGGAUGGUGGGCCAGCGGAGGGCUGGACAAUUGGAGGCAUCCAGGGCUCUGGUCUCCCAAGGAGUGUGUUGCAGGGAAGUGGCAGACCUGACCCGUGCUUCCAUCCUGUUCUCCUGCUGGCCUAGGGCAGAGCUGGGGCUUCUGAGCUCACUGAGGACUAAGAUGACUCCGUCUCUCUACCCAGCUGGUGCCGGGAGCUGUGCAUCCCCCAAAGAGAUGACCACGUGGAAGGGCAGGCCCCAAAGGAAACACUUACAGGACUAUGCUGUGCAGUGAUGGAGGGGAGCCAGGGACCACGAGGCUGAAGAGAAUGGGGUGGAACCAAAGGAGGAGAGGAAGGCACAGGAGGCAGGCCAGGCACAGAGCAGAGAGAGACUGUGUGGUGUCUGCUGGCACCAAGAGGGGUUCUGCAGUUGGACUACAAAGUGAGGUGGGCUUCUGAGAUGGAUGGCUGGGGCACGGGGGACGAGCCCUGGGAUUCUGAGUGCUGUAGGACAAGGUGAAGGGACACCUGUCAGGUGGGACUUAAGAGUGCAGUUGGAAGGGAGGGAGGGCUCCAGCCCCGGAGGGAUGUAAGGCUGAUCAGUGCUUGUCAGCAUGCGCCGGGCAGGGCAUACUCAGACAUCCUAUAGGGACUGUGAUGUCUGGGUGGAACUGGAGACCCACCUCCCCAGCAGCCUUUACUUCCUGUUCCUCUUGGAGGCUGCUGGAAUGGAAAAUGUCAGAAUCAAAGAGCCCUAAGAAGUCCCCGCCAACACUGCAAAGGUGGAUGUGAAUCCCAGGGCAGCAGCCCCGCCUCCCACUUGUUCAGCACUCAGAAUAUGCCAAAUGCCUUGAUUCAUUUCUCAUUCAACCUCCCAACAAUCCUGCUCAGGGCAAUGGAAUUUGCCUCAUGUCACACAGGCAGAAAGGGGCAAAACUGGGCUUCGGCCCAGGAAUGGCACAGGGUGUGUCUGUGUCAUGGCACUUUGUAGAGGGAGCUGCUUGCAGAGGCAGGGGCUCUGGGCCUAGGGAGGCUCCUUCUGGAGCAGCGUCUGCCCUGGGACCCCUGUCACCUGACUGAUGCUUGCCCAGGCUGGGGUUCUUCCUCAGGACCUCCUGUAGGUGUGGACUUCCUCUUAGAAGCAUUCUUCUUGGCUCUUCUAAAAUCCUCAGGGUUUGAAUCUUUCAUCGCAUUUUGUUUGUUUAGAGGCCAGGCAGCGGCCUGCCUGUGAGUGUCCCAUCCCAGGGUGAUGACAUAUCAGCCCUGGAGGUUAUGAACAGCCUGGGCCCUGAGGGACUAGCCCCCCCCAAACUUGCCUGGGAUCUAUUCCAUGUCAGACUGUGCCAGGCCCUGGGACCCCAAGAUAAGUCAAGGUGGCCCCCUUUCCUCUUGGGCAAGACUUCUCUCAAAAUAGGCAAUGGCUUUGCACAAGACAGAGCUUGUCAUGGGUUCUGUGAUUGCAGGGUUCAGUGCCCAGUGUAGGCUUCACUGUGGCUAUGGGGAUCACUCUUUAUGACAUCUGGAGACUCCUUUCCUCAAAAUACAGCACCUCAGGACUCCCUGGGGCAAGUGACAGGGCAGGGACAGGCCUGCCACUCCUGAGCCUCAUGCUUGCUGGGAGCUGAUGCUGGCUGUUGGGAUUUCCCACUUCUGCCCCCCUCCAACUUGGGGGUCCUUCUCUUUCCUGAGCAGGAGUCCUGUCCUAGGAGGACUGUAGGCUCUUGGGACAGGGGCUCCUGAAACAACAAUGGCAGUACCAGAGGUCACAAAGAUGGAGUGAGGAUGCUGGCCAUGCAUGUAGUCCUAGCACUCUGGGAGGCUGAUGCGGGAGGAUCACAAGUUCAAGCCCAGCUUGGGCAACUUAGCAUGACCAUGUCUCAAAAGAAAAAAAAAUGGUUGGGGAUAUUUCUUAGUGAAAAGGCUCUGGGUUCAAUUCCUGUAACACACACACACAAAAGAAAAAAAAAAGGAAAGAAAAAGAGUGAUGGUGUCAUGCCAGGCAAAAACCAUUCAGUGCUAGCCUCUGACUCCCAGGCUUGUCUCAGAGGGGAUCCGAGGGCUAGGAGACAAAAAGUAACUGACCUGGCCUCAGUCUAGCUUUGAAGCCCAUGCUUUUAAUCCAUGACCUCGUCUUUUCUUGCCUUCCCCAUGCUGUCCAGCAAGAAUGUUGAGCCCAGAGCCAUGAUUCACAAGCCCUUCUCCACUGACAGCACAGCCCCAAGAUGCAGCCAGGACAGGGGGCAUUCUGUUCCCCUCCACUCUCCCUGUUCCACAGAGGGGUCAUGGGGACAAACUCAGAGGAGACGUUCCUCUGUCUGGCUGGAUGCUCUGGGCUAAAAAAGGGCAGUGUCUUUGGCCAAGGAUAGUAGUUCAUAGCACGAGUGCCAGCUGCCAGAUGUCUAUGUGCUGGGGUGGGGCUUUUGAAGCCUUGUCCUUGGAAACUCUGAAACACUUCUGAAGGCUGUGGCCUUGAGCUCCAGCUUGGGGAGUGUGGCAGACAGUGGGUGCCCAGGAGAGGAGAAAGCAGAUGAUGUGUGCUGCCUCUCAUCCUUACUCCUUAAAAGGCCCUACGGGACCCUUUAAUGAUUCAUAAAUAUGAUGCUUGGGUGUUUGUGUCAUCACAUGAAAUGUACCUCCCUCUAUACCUUGUUACAUCAUCAGCACAUUACCUGCUUGAGGUCAAAUAUAAAAUAAAAUAAAAGGUCCUGAGUGGACCACGGCUGUUCUUCUGAGACCAGCCACGAGCUCUGAGGCACUCCCAUUCCUGAGCUACUGAGUAGAGAACCAGGGGGAGAAGGAGGUGGUUGUAAGUCUUAUUCUGAGGACUGGGGGGACGAUGAGAGGAACUAGAAGUAUGGUUGACCCACAAAAAGGAGAUUUCACAGUGCUCUCCUUCUCCAGGAAGCAUUCUCUGACCUCACCUGCUUCCUUCUGUCUUUUCUAGCGGGCAGGGCACCGCUGGGGCUGGGCUGGGAGGGGCCUCCAGCACUGCUUCCUCUAAACCGCUCACUGUGCAGAUGGGGCCAGAGGAAGGCUCUGAGAGGGCCACAGGGAAGGUCUCUGAAAGCACAAAGUAUGCAGGAUACCAGCAGCUUCCCCUUUCAGGCCUCAUGUCCUUGACUUCACUCUCUCCUGCCCUUCUUUCUUUCCCUCCUCUAUGAUUCUCUCCCUAAAAAUCUUGCUGCUUCCUCUCCCUAAAACCUCUCCUGCUUAGCAUUAAAUCCCUCCUGCUCCAGCCUCUGUCUCUACGGCUUACUCAACACGACCUGGGACUCUCCCUGUAGUGGGUUCCAGAUCUUUUCAUUUGCCAUCCAGCCUUAUUUUCCAAAGGGCGGAUCUGAUACUUUGCGAGUCCCGUCAUACACAGCAGAUGUGGGUCAUAAGCCUGCUUCUGCUGUGGAGUGAUGCAGGGGCAGAGGACAAGUCUGCUUACAAGCUUCCGGGUCGGUGCAUUCAUUCCUUCAGCAAGUGAGUAGUGAGUACCUUCUCAGUGCACGAGUAGAGCACUAAGAGGGGAAUCUUGGACCACUGUGGGAGCCCAGCGGCAGAGGACAAGGGCCUUCUCAGCAGAACAAAGGGCCCAAGCAGCAGCUGGACAGAUUUUUAGGGAGGCUUCCAUCAGGAAGAAUGGCCUAGAGAACCACCGUCGUUUCUCUCCAGUUCUGAGGCUCUGGCUUCCAAGCUGCCCCUCCACACACGUGCCUGCCAAAUGGAAUAAGAGUGUUGAAGACAAACACUCCUGUCCACCUUCACAAGGGCUGUGGCCCAGGAGACACCAUGUGACUGAACAGAAGGAAGGCGAUGGUUCAGGUGUCUUUCUAGAACACCCUCCAGGUGCUGGAAACCUUGAGGCAUGUGGGCUCUGUGCACACAAUGGGGGGUCACUGAGCAGUGGGUGCUGGGAUGAAUCAGGAGACAGGCCUGGGGGACAACAUCUGCCUUUACACCUCGGCUGUUCGGUGCUUCGGGAGAAGAUCUUAUGACCUGAAACUUGGCAGGGUCAUGGGCCCUCCUUCCUGGCAGGGGUGUGGCAGGUAUGUGCCCGAAGCCUGAUCCACAGCAGCCAUUGGAUCAAUCUGGACUCUUCUCGCUGGGGUCUGAUGUGGUCUAAUCAUUCUUUACAGCACCACACUCCAAGCAGCCCCUACUAAUCAAUGACAGCUGGCCCCUGAGUUAAAGUCUAUUUAACUUUCUGUCCUGGUCAGGUCUUGCGGCCAAUCUUUUGCAUUUAUAUCAAAUGUUCUCCUUUCUUAAAACCAAGAACCUUCUUAUCCUCUUCCCUUUUCAGGGCAGGUGGCUGCAUCUCCCACUUUAAAGAGUGGCGCUGUGAUUAGAAACCAUCAGCUGGGAACCUGCUCACCUUUCCACCUCCAAGAUACCUGCCUGCUGGCCUACUUCCUCCUUCCCUUCAGUUUCAGGUGAGGAAGUGCUGCCUGCUACCCAAGGACAAACUACCUGAGCUCUAGUCCCUCCUUUCCUGCCUUCUUGGAACAUCUCUCUUCCUAUGAAGCAAACUCAGCCAUUCUAUUGGAUUCUUCCAUCAUGUUUUAAGCGUGUUAAUUAUUUUUCAUAUUUAAAAAAAUGGUGCACAGUGUUGCAUUCCAAUAAUCCCAGCCUUCUGGGAGGCUGAGGCAGAAGGAUCACAAAUUUGAGCCUAGCUUGGACAACUAAGUGACUUAGUGAGACCCUAUCUCAAAAUAAAAUCAAAAGGGCUGUGGUUGUAGUUCAGUCCAAAGCCCCUAGGUUCAUCCUCAGUUCUCCAAAACACAAAAAAACAAAAGAGAAGAAUAGUGGAGAUAAAUAUAGUUACUAGAUUUUUAUUUUGCCAAGUCAGGACUUUGAGACAACUUUCUGCCUUCUAUGACCAUCAUUUCUGUAGAUAAUUUCAGAAUGUAAGAUAAACCUGUAUAUUGUUAAAAAUUUACCAUCAUAUACUUAUUUUUCACAGUUACUGGUAGAUCAGAAGAAAUCCAAGGACACCCCCUCCCAUCUCCAAGUGACUGAACCGAUCCUGUGGGGCAGGGCCUCGGGCUCAGCUCAAUGCAUGUGCCAGCUGGGAAUGGGCUUCUCUCCCCACAGGCCAGCAUAGCCCAUCCACAGAGCAACCUGCAUGUCCCAGAGCACCUGGGCUAGCACACGAGCCACAGCCAACUCCCUGAGAGGUGGGGCUUCCAUCUGAGCCCCAAAUGCUAUCUAGCCUGCUCUGAAUUUCACACUUACACCCCAACUGCCUCCAAGCCUGCUGAGUCAUCUCUAGAAGAGGUCACAGUGCCACACUGCCAAAACAUCACAGACACCGAGAAGAGUGUUUUUCUGUGAGAAGUGUCAGCUAAAUAGAUACUCUUUUGCACACAACUGCCAGCAUUUCUAGAUGUAUACAGCAAGGAUGCCUUAUGCAGGAGAAAUGGCCUGGCCAAGAGGCCAGGGUUCAAAUAAAAGUUCUGCCUGCAUUCA